rnacentral:rRNA from 1 species
GUAGGGAAUAUUGGGCAAUGGAUGCAAGUCUGACCCAGCCAUCCCGCGUGCCGGAAGAAGGCCCUCAGGGUUGUAAACGGCUUUUGACGGUGAAGAAUCGACAGGAUGCGUCCUGUUUUGACGGUAGCCGUUGAAUAAGCACCGGCUAACUCUGUGCCAGCAGCCGCGGUAAUACAGAGGGUGCGAGCGUUAAUCGGAAUGACUGGGCGUAAAGGGUGCGUAGGCGGGUUUUCAAGUUUACUGUGAAAUUUCUGGGGUUAACCUAGGAGUGGCAGUAAAGACUGAAGAACUUGAGUCGGCGAGAGGAGCGUAGAAUUUCCGGUGUAGCGGUGAAAUGCGUAGAUAUCGGAAGGAAUACCAGAGGCGAAAGCGACGCUCUGGAGCCAGACUGACGCUGAGGCACGAAAGCGUGGGGAGCAAACAGGAUUAGAAACCCGUGUAGUCC